UUUUGGGGGGACAUAAUUCAAACCAUGACAACUACCCUAACAACAAUGGGAGGGGGUGUUGUCCCAGGAUAGCUUCCUCAUAAGUAUGUUUCGUCUGAGAAUCCUGGGGGCCGUGCCUUCUAAAUUUAUUGUUUCCCUGCAUGGCUUCUUGUCUUUUUGAUCCCAUGCACAAAUUAAAUUAGCUAUUCAUACAUAUUUAUCAGUCAAGCAUAGAGUUAUAUUGAAGUUGUCUAAAGAUUUUUGCAUCAAGAAGCAAAGGAGAAGUAAAAAGCAAAAGGAAAUAAGUGUUUCUUCCCAUUUUGCCUUACCGUCUCUAUUUCUUGUUAGGUGUAAGAAACUGAAAAGUUUGACUCAGUACUAAUAGAUCUGUUCACUCAUUUUCAUUUAUUCAUCCAUCAAGCAUUUACUGAAUGCCCACUAUGUACGAGAGACAAUGCUAAAUUCAGAGAUAAACUAUGGCUGUGUCAAGAAAGGAAAAUGAAGGAGGAACGUAAGGAAGCUCCUGUCUAGCCCUGUCCUGUGGCUGGGUUGGAAGGAAGCAUACGACAGAGCAGAAUGUUCUGUGGUGGGUCUAGCAAGUGAAAAGAAAUGAAGGGGAGUAUCAGCUGCAAAAAGUGACUGGAAGACAGACGUGAGAGCUAACUGGGAAGUCUACGCGAAUGGAGGCUCACAUGCAAUGCAUGAGUCUAGGGCUGCGUCAUAAUGUAAACCCCUCUUCAAGUCCCUGUUAAAGCGUCUGUUAAUAGUCCCCAAGAGAAUGGAUUAACGAAUUAUGUAUGGCAGAAAUAGUUUUCAGUGAAUGGGUUUGACCUGGAUUAGUCAUUAAUAAGGAAAAAGAAAUCUCUUUGACACCUAUUUGUUACGGUGGCUUAAAGGAUCGCUGCCCUUUACUGAGCAAUAAAACAAGGAGUUUGUUUUGCUUAAUUGUGCCCUUUGGUGCUACUUCCCUUGUUAGAUAGCUGUACUUAUAAAGUUAAAUGAAGGCACACUUGAAACAUGGGAGGAUAUGACACGUGUAAGAAGUGAGAGGCAAGUCGUCAGAGGGGGCUAGACCAGAGGCCUUGCGGAUCCUAUAAAGAGGGACUUACCAUCUCCAGAACAGGAACUCAACGCCAAGGUCCAAUUCCCUUGUUUAAACAUAAGCUAAGCGCAGGGACAGCUUGCCUUAUUAAGUAGAGAACGACAAAAUAUAAUUUUAAACCUAGGUUUACAGUGUGCAUUCUGUGUUGGGAUUCUUUUCAAAUCCAGGGAUAUCUUUGUAUUCUUUAGGGAGAAAGGGAAGAAUCACUGUGUUGUCAGCGUGGUGAGGCUUGCAGUAAUGGGGUAACUUGUCCUUUGUAGUCUGUUGAGCUCUUUCCUCCUGCUCAGAGCGAGUCAGCUUCUGGACUUCAGAAAAAAGUCUUCCCCCUUUUAAAUGCUUCUAUUAUUAUAUUGAUAAUAGGUACUCAUGCGGUAUUAUUUUAAGUCACUUCAAAAAUUACACAUUUUAUUGCCAUCUGUAUUUCUCUGGAAGAACGUUUGUUCUUAAUCUGUCCAUACCUGCAUGUUUAAGUAGUCCAUGAUGUAUGCAUACUUGUCAACCAGAACUACCCCUUUAUCUUAUUUAUGUCCAUGACUUCUCAUAGAUGAGUAUAAUUAUGUAUAAUUCCAAUAAAAAAAAAUCAGCUAAACCAAAGGGGAGGGGAAAAUGGGAUACACUAGAAUCCAGACUUCUUUAUCAUCACUGCAGAUCGUUUUCCCUCGUAAUAAGCCUAGUAUCAGAAAAAUGUUAACAUUUACAUGUAAACAUUGGGAUGGAAAUCAGGACAAAAUUUAAAUGGCAGAUCCGGAACUUAAUAUUAUAUUUCAAGAUUCUGGAUAAAGUCAUAUUGCCUUUAAUUCUUUUUAAUUUAUUUAAGCAUUUGGUAUCAGAAAAUUAAAUUGCAAAGAAGACUUACAGAUAGUAGAGAAGAUUUCUUGGCAAAAAAAUGACUUUACAUAAUGCCCAAAGCUAAGGUGUUUGUUUCGUCUGAAAUACUGCCAAGCCCGUCUGAUUUGAGGAAAGAUCCAUGAGGCAGUUUCUGAAAGAAAACAAAGCAAAACGAGAAUGCUGUUGAAGUUGAAGAGUUCAUUGUGGUCAGCAGAAUGGGAGCAAAGCUGGAGUCCUGGGGGAAGUAGGGGCGACAGUGGUCCUGGAAUUCUGUGCCUUCAGGAAAAAAUCAGUCAUUCCCGUUACACAGGGCUUUGUAAAUUUUAACCACAAUAAGCUGCCUUUUUCCCCAAAUCAAUGGUAUGCUGUAAAAUUGAAGUGAAUAAAACUUUAUUAAUUUUAGAGAAUUUACUGUUCCUUCACCUCUUCCCACAUGUAAAUGAAAGAUGCCCUGCAAAUUGUUACAGCACCGCUUGAUACUCACCAGCCUAGAGCAGUCUUCCCAGUCUUUGGUUUUCCUGAACUCCGUUAGUAAACUAUUUUGACACACCUGCAA